rnacentral:lncRNA from 1 species
GAGACGUGAGUGAGUGAGGUUGUGUCGCUGCGUCCAAGGCAAUUUUCGUAAACUUUUUCAAAGUGAGGAAAGAGGAAAUAUUUUAGUUGAAAGAGAAAUAAAAAAAAAUAAAAAAUUGAACCAAUCAGGAGGCAGGAAAUAAGAAUGACGUCAUAAGAGAAAAA